CAGGAAUGAAUGGAAGUGUGGUUAAUGUUUGUAAGGAGGUGUGCAUGUGAUAGAGAAAGAGAUAUUGGUUAGAAAAUAAUUCUAAGUGUCUAGGAAGCGUUUCUUGAGUUGUGUCCAUGAGUUUGAGAGUUGAGUGUUAGUCCCAGAGUGUCCUGAAUAUCUGUCCUCGAUCUCUCUGAAUGUCCGAAUUCGAAUCUAAAUGUGAAUGUCCUGAUCUGAAUCCCCUGUCUUCCCUUUGUUCUAACUUUUUGAAGGGCCAGACUCUCUGUACGUCAUUAGUUGAUCAGGCGAAUAGGAAACUAUAGGUGUGUCUAGUUU